CAAAGUGCUGUCACUGUCAAUUACAAACUUAAAUUUUUUGUGUAUUUGUGUGUUUUUCUAAAAAAAUAGAAGAGAUCGAACAGUACAAUUGUGGAUUGUGGACUACCUUUUGGAAGCUGAAAGCUGACGAGAUGAAACUUAUUUUCACAGGAGAAAAUGCAUUGAAAUCCAACCAGUUGAAAAAGUUUUCAUUUUGUGGCAAGCUUUGGACUAUUAAAAGCUAAAGUACAUACCAGUAUGGGAGAUCGUAUUUAUAUCUAAUGUUCAGAUCAGAAUGUAAGAGGCCUAUACUUAUGCCAUCACAAAGCUACCUUAUGCAUUCAUGGACAUUAUAAUAUAUCAGUUACCAAUAUCCAAAGUCGAUGGACUGCUAGGAAAUAAAGAGGAAGGGACGAAAACAAAUAUCUAAAA